rnacentral:rRNA from 1 species
CCUACGGGAGGCAGCAGUGAGGAAUAUUGGUCAAUGGACGAGAGUCUGAACCAGCCAAGUAGCGUGAAGGAUGACUGCCCUAUGGGUUGUAAACUUCUUUUAUAUGGGAAUAAAAUGUUCCACGUGUGGGAUUUUGUAUGUACCAUAUGAAUAAGGAUCGGCUAACUCCGUGCCAGCAGCCGCGGUAAUACGGAGGAUCCGAGCGUUAUCCGGCUUUAUUGGGUUUAACGGGAGCGUAGGUGGAUUGUUAAGUCAGUUGUGAAAGUUUGCGGCUCAACCGUAAAAUUGCAGUUGAAACUGGCAGUCUUGAGUACAGUAGAGGUAGGCGGAAUGCGUGGUGUAGCGGUGAAAUGCUUAGAUAUCACGAAGAACUCCGAUUGCGAAGGCAGUUCACUGGACUGCAACUGACACUGAGGCUCGAAAGUGUGGGUAUCAAACAGGAUUAGAUACCCCAGUAGUC